rnacentral:tmRNA from 1 species
CUGCCACAAUGACAAGGUCCGGUUUCGACCGGACUAGGUGGCUCACACCGGUGCUUCGGACAGCGGUUCGAUUCCGCUCAGCUCCAUUCCCCCACUCCUGCUGGCCCUUGGCCGGUUUGAGAUCAAGGGGCUGCAAUGGUUUCGACGGGGUAUGAGGAGGGUGACUGAAGCCUGCUCGGUAAGAGCGAACCCGUAACAGCGAACAACAUCGUUCGUUUCUCCCGUCAGACCGCCCCUGUGGCUGCCUGACCCUUGUAAGGGAGAUGGGGUGAGGUCAGCCUUAUCACCCAAAUGACCCAUGGGCCCUGGAAGGGGCC